GACUGGGCUGCGGCGGUUAGUCCUCUCCCGGCCGCCGUCGCCUCCGACAUAUUGCCCGCAGGAGCUGCGGCGGCGAAGCGGAGAGCGCCGGGGGGAGGAGAUGGCUUGAGGAUCUGCCUUAUGUUGAGCCCCACAGGAGGACGAAGAGGUCCCAACAGGACAUCCUACUGUCGAAAUCCACUCUGCGAGCCAGGAUCCUCAGGGGGCUCUGGUGGGGGCCACACCUCCAGUGCCUCGGUCACCAGUGUCCGUUCCCGCACCAGGAGCAGUUCUGGGACGGGCCUCUCCAGCCCCCCACUGGCCACCCAGACGGUCGUGCCCCUGCAGCACUGCAAGAUCCCUGAGCUGCCAGUCCAGGCCAGCAUUCUGUUUGAGUUGCAGCUCUUCUUCUGCCAGCUCAUAGCCCUCUUCGUUCACUACAUCAACAUCUACAAGACAGUGUGGUGGUAUCCGCCCUCCCACCCACCUUCCCACACCUCCCUGAACUUCCACCUGAUCGACUUCAACUUGCUAAUGGUGACCACCAUCGUUCUGGGCCGCCGCUUCAUUGGGUCCAUCGUGAAGGAGGCUUCUCAGAGGGGGAAGGUCUCCCUCUUGCGCUCCAUCCUGCUGUUCCUCACCCGAUUCACCGUUCUCACGGCAACAGGCUGGAGUCUGUGCCGCUCCCUCAUCCACCUCUUCAGGACCUACUCCUUCCUGAACCUCCUGUUCCUCUGCUAUCCGUUUGGGAUGUACAUUCCGUUCCUGCAGCUGAACUGUGACCUCCGAAAAGCAAACCUCUUCAGCCAUAUGGCCUCUGUGGGACCCCGGGAGGCAGUCAACAGCCUAUCUCGGAGCCGGGACUACCUGCUGACACUGCGGGAAACAUGGAAGCAGCACACACGGCAGCUGUAUGGCACAGAAACCAUGCCCACCCACGCUUGCUGCCUCUCUCCCAGCCUCAUUCGUAGUGAGGUGGAGUUCCUCAAGAUGGACUUCAACUGGCGCAUGAAGGAAGUGCUUGUCAGCUCCAUGCUGAGUGCCUAUUAUGUGGCCUUUGUACCUGUCUGGUUUGUGAAGAACACACAUUACUAUGACAAGCGCUGGUCCUGUGAGCUCUUCCUGCUGGUGUCCAUCAGCACUUCAGUGAUCCUCAUGCAGCACCUGUUGCCUGCCAGCUACUGUGACCUGCUGCACAAGGCUGCUGCCCAUCUGGGCUGCUGGCAGAAGGUGGACCCAGCACUGUGCUCCAACGUGCUGCAGCACCCGUGGACUGAAGAAUGCAUGUGGCCGCAGGGGGUGCUGGUGAAGCACAGCAAGAACGUCUACAAAGCAGUCGGCCACUACAAUGUGGCUGUCCCUUCUGACGUCUCCCACUUCCGCUUCCACUUCUUUUUCAGCAAACCCCUACGGAUCCUCAACAUUCUCCUGCUGCUGGAGGGUGCUGUUAUUGUCUACCAGCUCUACUCGUUAGUAUCCUCUGAGAAGUGGCACCAGACUAUCUCACUGGCGCUCAUCCUCUUCAGCAACUAUUACGCCUUCUUCAAGCUGCUGCGGGACCGACUGGUGUUGGGCAAGGCCUACUCGUACUCGGCCAGCGCUCAGAGGGACCUGGAUCACCGGUUCUCCUGAGCCCCAGGGCGGCCCCAGGGACAUCACCCAGGCUUCAGCUUCAGACAGGGGCUCCCUGGCAAGGGGCUGUUGGGGAGGUUUGGGCGGGGGACAAAAAAAAAAAAAAGCAGACAAAAAAAAACAAAUCCACCAGAGCUUUGUAUUUUUGUUACGUACUGUUUUCUUUCUUUGAUAUUUGAUGUGAUUAUGAGGAAAAAAAAGUCCUAUUUUUAUACUCCCAACAAGCCUGUGUCCUGUGGUUCUUUCCCUUUUUCCUGCCUACCAGGCUGAGAGCAAAGGUGCAGGAUUCCUGGCUGAGAAGCCCCACGUGUGGCUUCUGGGCCCCAGUGGGCGCUGCCUCCUCCAUUGGAAGAGGAGAGGAGGCACCAGAGGGCAUGGUACCAGGGAUAGCUGCCACUUCCUGAAUUCUUGCUGUCUAGCAGAUGCUGCUUUAUAUGUAUUUCAGGCCUUGUGUGAUCUCACUUUUAUGACAACCCUAGGAGGUAAAUGGCACUCCUGUAGAUGAGGAAUGGGAACUUAGUUUUAGUGGCUUGUCCAAAGUAACUCAGCUAGGUAAGGUAAAACUAGGCAAAACAAACAACAACAAAACUCUGAAAGAUCAAGCUACUGUCCUAGCAGAAUGUGAUGUCCUGAUUCAGCAUGCAGUCACUGGGCCCCUGCUCUGUGCCAGGUGCUGUGGUAGAUGGUGAGGAUGCCAGGACAGAAACAAGCAAGUCAUACUACACUGUGAUGAGUACAACUGGUACAAGGUACAGAAUAACAGGAGAGAGUACUUAAUGCUCUGUGGGCUUCUUGGAGGAGGGGAUAGUCUGAGUUGUAUUAGCCACUUCCUAAGCGGAGAAGAAAGGAGCCUUGGUGGCACAGUGGUUAAGAGUUGGGCUGCAAACCAAAAUCUCAGCGGUUGGAACCUACCAGCCCAGGAGAAAGAUGUGGCAGUCUGCUCCUGUAAAGAUUACAGCCUUGGAAACCCUAUGGGACAGUUCUACCGUGUCCUAUAGGGUGGUUAUGAGUCAGAAUUGACUUGAUGGCAAUGGUUAACAGGUGGAGAAGAGGGGGGAGGCAUUCCAAGGAGAGGAAAGGGCACAUGCAAUAGCAGAGAUUUGCGACAUCUGGUGUGUUGGGGGAAGGUAAGCAGAGCGAGCCUACAGCAGAAAUGAUAAGGAAACGGGACAUAGAUGGGGUGGGACUGGAGAGGUUAGCAAGGGCUGGAUCAGGAAGGGCGGGGAACCCUAGGUCAGGGAAAGUGUGUGAGCAGGUGCUAGAGUGGAAACAAAACUGCUUGGAGGUGACCUGGCUCCUAGGGGCAUAGGAUGGAGAGUUCAGGGGCUGGGAGGAGGGAAGACAGUCAUUGCCACUCUCAUCUAUUAAGGCCACGUUCCCUGAGCCCUUGUUAGCCUUUGGCUGCAAGGUACCCAGAUGAGUUCACAGUACUGUCUGGGAGACGAACUCCUUAACAAAUAUUUUGGGUGCCUCUGGAACAGAUAGAUGAGAAGAUACUGUCCCUUCCAUAGAUGACUGGAAGAAAAAGACACCUUAUAAGCGAAUCAGAGAGGUAAGUGCUGAGGCAAACAUGCAUCCGGGGCUCUGGGGAAGCACAAGGAACAGAUGCUCUGACUGUUGGAAACAGGCUUCUCAGAGGAAGUGAAGUUUGAAUUGGUCUUGAAAGUGUGUAAUAGUUCACCACAAGGUCAAGGGAGGGCAUUGCAUUCCAAGCAGAGGGGACAGCAUAUGCAAAAGUACAAGAAAAAUAAAAACAAGCAUAUUUGAGGAAAAGUGAGUGAUUACAGUUGAAGCCUGGGUUGCCUGGUGGGAGUGGCCCGAGAAGCCCAUAAAGGCCCAUCUGUGUGCCAGAUUGAAAUGUUUGGGCAUUACCUAAGUAGGAAGGUGCUGAGCAGAGGAGGGACACCACCACCAGUUGCCAUCAGGUAGCAACCCCGUGUGUGUCAGAGUAGAACUGUGCUCCAUGUGGUUUUCAAUGGCUGAUUUUUCAGAAAUAGUUGGCCAGGCCUUUCUUCCCAGGCAGCUCUGGGUGGACCGCAACCUUUUGGUUAGCAGUGAAGUGUGUAAACCAUUUGUACCACCCAGUGACUCCAAAGAAGUGAUAGCGGUAAGGUAAAAGCAGAGGGAAGAUGUCUGCUUUUCAGGAGAUGGGGGUGGGAGCCGUAGAGCCUGGAGGCAAAAGACCAGUAAGGAAAUUGGCAAAAUACACCUGGAGAGAGUGAUGAGGUCUGACCUUGAGCAGUGGGGCAGGAAGAGAAAGAUAGCACUUCCUUUUCUGAGCCCAAGUCCUAGAGUUUAUCUUUUGAGUUGUUUCCCUUAAUGAGCAAGUCAGAGAACUAGAGCUGGCAAUUUGUGUGACAGGCCCUGGGGACCAGCUAUCAUGUUCCUCAUUCUGCUUCCAAAAAAUAGAGCUACCUCCUGAAACCAGUGACUUGAAGACAUAGCCUGCCUGUAUAUGUGUUGAAGUGAGGGACAGAACUGGCAUGUCAUUUUGCAAAAGGGAGGCCUAAUAUGAACCAGCCAUAAAUUCCAUGAAUUCAAAAGGCACAUGAACACUCAGAGCACUCAUCUGUAAAACGGGUGGUCAUAUCCCUUGCUCUGUGUAACUCAGCUGUUCCAUUCAUUCGUGUAUUCGGUGAUUAGUCAUGUGCCAGCUACUGUGCUAGGUGCUGGGAAUAUAGUGGUGAACAAUACAGAACUGACUCCUGCCCUUAGAGAGCUUGCUGUAGGGAUAAAUUAAAUAAUGAUUGGGAAAUCACUCUGCCAACUAUAAAGCACUGCACUGGUCUAAAUGUUUUUCUACUUCUUAUCUCCCAUUAAGACUGCAAUCUCAACUAGGACUACCUGUGGUAGGCUGAGUCAGAAAACCUGGCUUUGGUCUUGACUUCUUCAUUUCCCUAUCUCUAUUUUUUUUUAUAUCCUUAAGCAAGUCACUUCCCCUUUCUGGGCCUCAGUGUUUUGUAAGAUUGAGAUGAUUCCUUAUUCAUGUCUAUCUCAGGGUCUAUGACUGGCUUUAACUGUGAAAGGAAGGGAUUAGUUUCUGAAAGAGGAGACUUCACUACAAAGAGGAAAUAGUAGCAGAAAAAGUUGAAAACACCGAGGCACGCUUAACUUUUCUAAGUACGUUUGCUUUCCAGUCUUUCUCCACCCACUCCUUUCAUAUUCUAUCCCUGUUCCCCACCUUUAGUAGCUGCGGUCACUUUAAGUAUGCGCCUUCUACAUAAACGCGGCAGUGGGGCGAAGAUUGCGUUUCAUCCCAGGGUUGACUGCUAAGUGGUUUGUCCAUUUCGGGCUGCCGUCCUGCAGGUCCGCCAUAUUGUCUGCUAAAGCUACCGCUGGAGCUGCCGCCGCUACCGCUGCCGCCGCCGAGUCGGAGCGAGCGGAGCCGCGAUGGGUUAGUAAGGAAACCAGGCAAUUGUGGAGUCGAGCUGAGGUAGUCUCGGGGCUAGGUGUCUGGCGAGAGCCUGUCUCUGGUCUGCAGCGGCAGUCUGAGGCCUCAGCAAAUAGGUUUGAGGGGAGAAGCUUGGGCGGGAGUGCCCCUCAGGCUAGUUUGGGGCCGGGCUAGGGCCCGCGCGGGGAACUGUCUUCUGGGCUGGUUCUGGGAACACCUUGACACACCUGGAGCCCCCACGUGGUGGCCCCCGGCUGGGGUCCACGCUUUCCCGAGGACUAGAAAGGGGCCGACCCCCCGUCUGCGCGAAGACUGGGGCUGAGGGACGGGCUCCAGUGGCAGGCCCGGGAGGCGCUAAGGGAGCCCUCUCCCGGCGUGUGUUUGGCCGACGCGCUGCUUGACUGGAAUCAGUGGCGUCCCUGAACUCGGAGGAAUCCUCCCUACGUCGCGUGAUUCAUACUUCGUACAGUCCAUGUUCCAAUUAUUAAUGGAUGUUUGCAGCUGUUUCUUCUCAUUUGAGUUGUGCCACAUCAGCAAAUGAAGGUCCCGAAAGCUUUAUUCCAUCCAUGUCGUUAAGGUUGACUCUACUUUGGGGAGGAAGCUCUUCCCCAGUCAUCUUUUGAGUGCCUUCCAACCUGGGGAGCUCAUCUUCUGGCACUGCAUCAGACAAUGUUCCGCUGCUGUUCAUAAGGUUUUCACUGGCUAAUUCUUUUCAGAAGUAGACUGCCUGGUCCUUCUUCCUAGCCUCUCUUAGUCUGGAAGCUCAGCUGAAACGUAUCCUCCAUGGAUGACCCUACUGGUAUGUGAAUACUGGUGGAAUAGUUUCCAGCAUCACACCAACACGCAAGCCCCCACAGUACAACAAACUGACAGACACGUGGAUGCAGCACUGGAGGUGCUCACUCGUCUAUGCCAAGAAAUAUUUAUGCCUAUUCACAAGAAUGGUGAUCCAACCAAGUGAGGAAAUUAUAGAACAAUAUCAUUAAUAUCACACACAAGCAAAAUUUUGCUGAAGAUCAUUUAAAAAUGGCUGCAGCAGUAUAUCAACAGGGAACUGCCAGAUAUUCAGGCCGGUUUCAGAAGAGAACAUGUAACCAGGGAUAUUGUUGUUGAUGUCAGAUGGAUCCUGCCUGAACGCAGAGAAUACCAGAAGGAUGUUUACCUGUGUUUUAUUGACUAUGUAGAGGCAUUCAACUAUGUGGAUCAUAACAAAUUAUGGAUAACAUUGCGAAGAAUGGGAAUUCCAGAACACUUAAUUAUACUCCUGAGGAACCUUUACGUAGAUCAGGAGGCAGUUGUUUGGACAGAACAAGGGGAUACUGAGUGGUUUAAAGUCAGGAAAAGUGUGUGUCAGGGUUUUGUCCUUUCACCAUACCUAUUCAAUCUGUAUGCUGAGCAAAUAAUACGAGAAGCUGGACUAUAUGAAGAACGGGGCAUCAGGAUUAGAGGAAGACUCAUUAACAACCUGCAGUAUGCAGGUGACACAAUCUUGCUUGCUAUAAGUGAAAAGGACUUGAAGCACUUACUGAUGAAGAUCAAAGACCGUGGCCUUCAGUAUGAAUUGCAUCUCAACAUAAAGAAAACAAAAAUUGUCACAACUGGGCCAGUGAGCAACAUCACGAUAAAAGGAGAAAAGAUGAAGUUGUCAGGGAUGUCAUUUUACUUGGAUCCACAAUCAACAGCCGUGGAAGCAGCAGUCAAGAAAUCAAACGAUACAUUGCAUUGGGCAAAUCUGCUGCAAAGGACCUCUUUAAAGUGUUAAAAAAAAAAAAAAAAAAAACAAAGG